UACGAAGGGGGCUAGCGUUGUUCGGAAUUACUGGGCGUAAAGCGCGCGCAGGCGGCUAUCCAAGUCAGUGGUGAAAGCCCGGAGCUCAACUCCGGAACUGCCAUUGAAACUGUUUAGCUUGAGGAUGAGAGAGGUGAGUGGAAUUCCCAGUGUAGAGGUGAAAUUCGUAGAUAUCUGGAGGAACACCGGUGGCGAAGGCGGCAUUCUGGACCGGCAUUGACGCUGAUGCGCGAAAGCCAGGGGAGCAAACGGG
rnacentral:rRNA from 1 species